ACUUGUUUUUCUAAUUCAUUUUAGGUCGUGGAACAAGGUUGGGCGUUUUCAAUACAUGGGAUAAAAUGAGAAUUUUACAGAGACAAAACAACUUGAUCUAUAUUGGUUUAGAUGACUUAAAAACUGAAGGCAGGUUCAGAUGGCAAAACGGCGAACAGCUGAAAAGUCCAAACAUCAGUAGCUUCUUUAAUUUUAAUGAGCCAGAUAAUAGUGCAGGCACUGAAGACUGCGUUGUCUUGAGAGGGUGGUAUCUCAGCGAUGUACCAUGCACUAAGUCAUACCUCUUCGUGUGUGAAUUAGAAUUAGGAUCAUAAUACCGGGGGAUUUUUAUGCAUAACCAAAAGCAAUAAACAGUAAUCUUUUUUGAAUUCAUGAAAUGUUGAUUAUCAAUGUCUUUUGUCAUUGUUAUUGAUUAUUUGUGUGCAAUUUUAGCGAUGCAGAAUCAAAUUUAAUUUAAUUUUUUCUAAGCCCAUACAUUUGAGGUUAUUGUUUAGUUGGCAAUAUUGAAGUACAAUUUAGCGUCUCUAGUAUUGCUUAGUUUAUCGUUACAAUCUUUUAUGUAUUAUUAUUUGUAUAUAUUUUACGUUACUAAAGAUGUUUCAAUAUAUAGAAAGUUGUAGCACUUUAACAGCAGAUAUAUGCAUUAAUAAAAGUACCAGUGAUUAGAAGUAA
rnacentral:sRNA from 1 species